rnacentral:rRNA from 1 species
AUUGAACGCUGGCGGCAUGCUUUACACAUGCAAGUCGAACGGUAACAGGCCGCAAGGUGCUGACGAGUGGCGAACGGGUGAGUAAUGCAUCGGAACGUGCCCAGUCGUGGGGGAUAACGCAGCGAAAGCUGCGCUAAUACCGCAUACGAUCUAUGGAUGAAAGCGGGGGACCGAAAGGCCUCGCGCGAUUGGAGCGGCCGAUGUCAGAUUAGGUAGUUGGUGGGGUAAAGGCGCACCAAGCCAACGAUCUGUAGCGGGUCUGAGAGGACGACCCGCCACACUGGGACUGAGACACGGCCCAGACUCCUACGGGAGGCAGCAGGGGGGAAUUUUGGACAAUGGGCGCAAGCCUGAUCCAGCAAUGCCGCGUGCAGGAAGAAGGCCUUCGGGUUGUAAACUGCUUUUGUACGGAACGAAACGGUCCGGGUUAAUACCUUGGGCUAAUGGCGGUACCGUAAGAAUAAGCACCGGCUAACUACGUGCCAGCCGCCGCCGUAAAAC